UCGACUUUUGCCGCUUCUGGCUUGCCGUAGAUAAAUGACGUCAUGGGUCAGAGUUGAAAUCCUACCCAAACAGAAACAACAUGGAGUCGGAGGAGAGAAAAAUUCUAUCUAAAGCCGCUAAAAAAGAUGGAAAACACAGCAAAGCGCAAAACGUUGAAGAGGAAGCCAUAAGGAGAGAAGAGAUCAAAGAGAAGCUCAGGGAGAGACUGGAGCUGGAAAAAAGAGCCCUGCAAGUGGUCGAGCGUCUUCUUGAGGACGUUGUUGCUGAGGACUUCUUGAUCGACUGCGCCAGGUUUAUAACCCCUGCGAAUUACAAAGAUGCAGUGGAGGAAAGAUUUAUCACCAAGCUGUGUGGUUAUCCUUUAUGUCCAAAUAAACUGGGGAAGAUCCCAAGUCAAAAGUACAAAAUUUCUACCAAGCCCAAUAAGGUGUAUGACAUCACAGAGCGCAAGUGUUUUUGCAGUAACUUUUGCUAUAAAGCCUCCAAAGAAUUUGAAGUCCAGAUAUCAACGACACCACUUUGGCUCAGACAGUAUGAGAGACCCGUAGACAUACAGCUGAUGAAGAAACGGGACAUCGGGAGUUCUGGUGAGGAGGUGAGGCUGACACAGAAGCGCCUCCACAAGCAGGACGUUGAAAAUCCAGAGAAUGCUCAACCUGAGGACCCUCAGGAGCAUUUCUUCUCAGACCACAGCAGCGAUGGCGAGCUGGAGCAGGACUUUAUUUCCAGUGUGGUGUCCCAGCGGCAGAAAGCCAGCGUGCACUGGGGGGACUUGCCCAAACGUACAGAUGGAAAGAAAGGAGGACGCGGUGUGGGUGCAGGGUUAAAUACAUUGAAAAGAGAGGAAGAUGGAAAAGUGCAACAGUCUCAAGGGUCUUCGGAAGAACCUGCAAAGCAAAUGCAGGAGGAAAUCCGCGUGGAGGACGUGACUGAAAAGCCGGACCCAUGCAGCCUGCACAUUGCAGCAUCCACCCAGGAAGGCCAUGCAACUCCUCCUAACUCUUCUACAAGUACCGCCUCGGGAGAAUUUGUGAACACAGACUGCCCGGCUCUGCCCGGUUUCAACAUCAUCCAGGUGGGGAUGAGCAAGCGAGGGGCGCAAGGGCUGAGAGAUCUGGUGAAGAACCACACCCAGCCACCUGCAGCCAAACUGAAUGGAUGGAAUCUCCUUGAAUCCCUGACGUUGACGUUGAAGGAAUGGCUGACUGAUGAGACCCUGAAGUUCCUGCACCAGCUUGACUCUCCUCCGACCAACUCAAAGGAAGAAGAAGAAGAGGAGAAACUGGAUGAAGAUGACCUUGCGGAGAGAGGUGGAGGAGAGGUUGUUGCAGAGGAGCAGAAGAGACCUACACUGCCCACUCCGGACUAUGAGACACUUAAGAAGGAAACGCAGCAACUGGGGCUAAAAGUCCGAGAGUUCUACAAGGGCUCAUGUGGGAAUGGCCGUGAGGCGGACCAGAGGAGCAACACACGUCUUCCGCUUGUGGACUCCAGAGCUCAACAUCUCAUCCAAAAGCGAAUCAUAGUGGAGAAGAUUGCUAAUUGUCUCAAGAACAUUGUGGGACCCCUGAGUCUCACCUUGAGUGACAUCAGCACUGACCUCAACAACCUGGUCAGGACAUUCAGGUUGACCAACACCAACAUCAUCCAUAAAACUCCAGUGUGGACCCUCAUCGCUGUUGUGAUUCUGCAUCUCUGGAGCCAUCCACGCUCGUGAAGUCCUCUUCAGCCUUCAGGUCACCUUUCUCCUCCACAAACUUCUGGAUCCUGCACAUCGGUGGCACCUGGACCGGGGCGUAGCAUCCUUCUGCAGCGGCAGUGGCCCUCUGCACGUAAAGCGCAGGGGCCCCGCUUCCCUGGCCUCUGCAGGGAGGGAGGUGCAGGUACGGACUCUGGACCGCACGCCCCAGGCCAGAACCGGGGUAGGAGGUCCAGGCAUAAGCUGCCACGGUGGUGAAGGGGUGAUGAAUGCCGUCUUCUGAGUCUGCGCAGGAAACGCCAGCAAACGUCGCAGGGGGCGCUGGUGCCUAUCUCAGCUACAAUCGGGCGGAAGGCGGCGUACACCCUGGACAAGUCGCCACCUCAUCGCAGGGCCGUGUGUGUGACAAUUAUUGGCAUUAGACACCUGUGAAAGUCUCUUGCCGUCGUGCGGGUUCCAUGGACCACCAAGGAAGGACAUGCUUGUUCAGAUCAGAUCCAUGCCUUCAGAGUUCUUCUUAUUCACAAGAAGACGACGACAACAAAACAAGAAAGCUGCCAACAAAGAUGCGACGAAAAGUAAACAGCGGCAAGACGAGUAAGAACAAAAAGACAUUGACACAACAUUGAGAACUGAAUUAGGUCUUGAUGUUCAGCAACUCAAACAUAAUGUUGAAACAACAUGCUUUUUGACGACGUUUAAUCAAUGUUGGGUUCUGAUGUUGAUUUUACCACUGAAUUUUGGUCAUUUCCCAACCAAUAUUCUACAACACAAACACAAGGUUCAAACAUGCUUUUUAACAACGUUUAAUUAAUGCUGGGUUCUGACAUUGAUUUGACAUUGAAAUUUGGUCAUUUUCCAACCAAUAUUCUACAACACAAACAAAACGUUGAAAGAACAUGCUUUUUGACGACUUUUAAUUAAUCCUGGGUUCUGACGUUGAUUUGACAUUGAAUUUCAGUCAUUUCCUGACCAAUAUUCUACAACACAAAUACAACGUUGUAACAGCAUGCUUUUUGCCAACGUUUAAUCAAUGUUGGGUUCUGAUGUUGAUUUGACCAUUGAAUUUUGGUCAUUUCCCAACCAAUAUUCUACAACACAAACACAACGUUAAAACAAUAUGCUUUUUGACUACGUUUAAUCAAUGUUGGAUUCACACGUUAAUUUGACAUUGAAAUUUGGUCAUUUCCCAACCAGUAUUCUACAACACAAAUGCAACGUUGAAACAAUAUGCUUUUUGACAAUGUUUAAUCAAUGUUGGAUUCACACGUUGAUUUGACAUUGAAAUUUGGUAAUUUCCCAACCAAUAUCCUACAACAAAAAUACAAUAUUGAAACAUGUUUGACUACGUUUAGUCAAUGUUGGGUUCUGACAAUGAUUUGACAUUGAAAUUUGGUCAUUUCCCAACUAAUAUUCUACAACACUAACACAACGCUGAAACAACAUGCUUUUUGACGACGUUUAAUCAAUGUUGGGUUCUGACAUUGAUUUGACAUACAAAUUUGGUCAUUUCCUAAACAAUAUUCCACAACACAAAUACAACGCUGAAACAACAUGCUUUUUGACUACCUCUAAUCAAUGCUGUGUUCUGACGUUGAUUUGACAUUGAAAUUUGGUCAAUUCCCAGGAAAUAUUCUACAACACAAAUACAACGUUGAAGCAACAUGCUUUUUGCCAAUGUUUAAUCAAUGUUGGGUUCUGAAUUGGAUUUAACAUUGAAUUUUUGUCAUUUCCCAACCAAUAAUCUACCACACAAACACAACGUUGACACAACAUGCUUUUUAACGACGGUUAUUCAAUGUCAGGUUCUGACGAUGAUUCAACAUUGAAAUUUGGUAAUUUCCCAGCCAACAACGUGGAUCCAAUGUUAGACAUCAACGUUGUGUCAAUUUACAAAUGCAACUAUUUUGUAGCGCUGUUUAAAAUUCACUUUUAAAGGACAUGUACGUAUAAUCAACAUUGUAUCAAUGUCUUGUGUCUGCUGGGAAUAGCCACGGAACAACAAAACUGUCAAAUUCACCGGCAACAAAAAAGGAAUAGCCGCCAAACAAUGAAGAAGUAAUAGAUGCCACCAACGAAGAAGAAAUUGGCACCACCGAGGAAGAAGAAAGAGCCGGUGAACAACAAAGAAGAAAUAGCCACCACCGAACAAGGAAGAAGGAAUAGUUGCCGAACAACAAAGCAGAAAUAGCCGCCACCAACGAAGAAGAAAUAGCCGCAAAACAACUAUAAAAAAAUAGCUACCACCAACAAGAAAGAAGUAGCCCCCACCAACAACUAAGAAGAAAAAGCCGUCUGCAACGAAAAAUAAAUAGCUGCCAAAACAAUAAUUUCCAGACAAGGAAGAAGAAAUAGCCGGUGCCAAUUGAAAUAGCUGCCACCAACAAAGAAGAAAUAACCGCCGGACAAAAAAUUCAAAAUAGCUGCCACCGAACAAGUAGAAGAAAUAGUUAACAAACUACUAAGCCAAAAUAGCCGAAAUAGCCACCAACGAAGAAGAAAUAGCUGACAAACAACGAUAAAAAAAUAGCUGCCACCAACAAAGAAGAAAUAGCUUCGAAACAACUAAGAAGAAGAAGCCACUGCCAACAAAGAAGAAAUAACCACCACCCACAAGGAAGAAAUAGCCACCACUAACCAGCGCAGAAGAAAUACAGUAGCCAGCGAACAACAAAGAAGAAAUGGCUGCCAACAAAGAAGAAAUGCCUGCCAACAAAGAAGUAACAGCUGACAACAAAGAAUAAAUAGCUGACAACAAAGAAUAAAUAGCUUUCAAGAAAGAAGAAAUAGCUAACAAGAAAGAAGAAAUAGCUGACCACAAAGAAGAAAUAGCUGACAAGAGAGAAGAGAUAGCUGACAAAAAAGAAUAAAUAGCCUGCAAGAAAGAAGAAAUAGCUGAUAACAAAGAAGAAAUAGCUAAUGACAAAGAAGAAAUAGCUGACAAGAAAGAAGAAAUAGCUGACAACAAAGAAGAAAUAGUUGACAACAAAGAAGAAAUAGCUGAAAAGAAUAAAUAGCUGACAACAAACAAUAGCUGACAGUAAAGAAGAAAUAGCCAACAAGUAAGAAGAAGUAGCCAACAACAAAGAAGAAAUGCCUGACAACAAAAAAGAAAUAGCUGACAAGAAAGAAGAAAUAGCUGACAAAAAAGAAGAAAUAGCCGGCAACAAAGAAGAAAUGCCUGACAACAAAGAAUAAAUAGCUGACAAGAAAGACGAAAUAGCUGACAACAAAGAAGAAAUAGCUGAAAAGAAUAAAUAGCUGAUAAGAAAGAAGAAAUAGCUGACAAGAAAGAAGAAAUAGCUGACAAUAAAGAAUAAAUAGCUGAUAAGAAAGAAGAAAUAGCUGACAAAAAAGAAGAAAUAGCUGACAACAAAGAAGAAAUAGCUGAAAAGAAUAAAUAGCUGACAACAAAGAAGAAAUAGCUGAUAGGAAAGAAGAAAUAGCUGACAAUAAAGAAUAAAUAGCUGAGAAGAAAGAAGAAAUAGCUGACAAAAGAGAAGAAAUAGCUGACAACAAAGAACAAAUAGCUGACAACAAAGAACAAAUAGCUGACAAAAAAAAAGAAAUAGCUGAAAAGAAUAAAUA